rnacentral:rRNA from 1 species
UACGUAGGGUGCGAGCGUUAAUCGGAAUUACUGGGCGUAAAGAGCGUGUAGGCGGCCGUACAGGUCAGCUGUGAAAACUCGAGCUCAACCUCGAGACGCCGGUGGAAACCAUCAGACUAGAGUCCGGAAGAGGAGAGUGGAAUUCCUGGUGUAGCGGUGAAAUGCGCAGAUAUCAGGAAGAACACCCGUGGCUAAGGCGGCUCUCUAGUACGGUACUGACGCUGAGACGCGAAAGCGUGGGGAGCGAACAGG